UCUGUUCUCUGCUUCUGCGGGAGGAGGAAACAGAACAAGGGUGAGUUCAGAGACAGCUGAAAGCUCAUUCGUGGACAGACCAGCAGUGCUAAGAUGCAGGGUUGGGGAUUCUGACGGUGACCUUUACGGAUGCCUUCCACAGUGGAGCAGUUCCUUGUCUGGACAACGUGGUGAUACCCCUGUCCUAGUGUGAGAACUCGAUGAUUCCCACAGAAAUGGUCCUGGCACUCCCGCACCUGGAUGGGGAGGCAGCCCCCACAUUGCAGCCCUCCCAGGAUAACGAGCUACAGAACAAGUACUGGAAUUGCUACAGAUGAAGAUAGAACUAGAGGAAAGCUGUAAGAAGAAAGAUGAGCUUCUCCGUGAUACACAAAGAGCCUUAGCAGAGGAGCAGGCCAAAAGAGACAGCAGAGAGGGAAAAGCAGCUUCUUGAGGAAAGGUGUAAAGAGAUGCAGCAAAAGAUAAAGUUUCUAGAAAUAAUGUUCAGUAAAUCCGUAAUCCAACUGAAAGCAGAGAUGAUGAUUGAGACAGAAAACCUUCUGAGAAAGCGGGAUGAGAAGAUUCAGAGGCUUGAGGCCCAAAUUGAAGUGCUGACUGAAAAGAAGCAAAACAAUAAAAAUUACUGCACUUCAGAGAUAAUGGCAAAUGAUAAGGAAGAAAACAGGUCAGAGCACUCAUGGUGGUCUAAAAUUUGUGACCUGAUACAAGAGUUGACUUCACUACUUGCCAAGUUUUUCUCUAGUGGAUAAUUUCAGAUACCUGCGUACAGUAUUUGGACUUCUUCAAACAAUCUCUCUUACUGAUCUUCACCUUCAUUUUGCAGACUGGAUUUUCCUUGAAGUCUUGGAUUUCCUGAACCCCCAUACUGAGUAGGGUGGCUCUCCUUUGCACUCUCAUUGCACCUGCAGCAUGAUUUUGAAAAUUUAAAUUACCCAUUUACUCUGUCUUUCUGACGAUGCCUCGCCACCAAGGACCAGUUGAUCUUUACCAUUGUAAUCUUAGCUCCCAUUUCCACGUCCGGCACUUGAUCAAUAACUGGAAAAUGUUGAUUGAAUAAAGUUUCCCACUUUCUAUAUCCUCAUUAGGGCAGAUGCUUCAAAGGAGUCUUGUUAAAACAAAGGGUGCAGUUUUUGAUACAGAGAACAAAGGCAAAAGGAAAUGUGGAUAAAAUUAAAUUUCCUUAUAACUUGCAGCCCACUGACAAACACUUGAGACCUCCAGGAACUCCUAACGGUCUUAAUGCAAUGCUUUGCUAGUGGCAAAACGCAGCCUUAGCUUGACAAUAGUCAGGCCUCCAGGAUCCUGUAAUGUUAGGAGUUAGUUACAGUUAUGUAGUCAGGACCCAGAUCCCCAACAUGAAAAUAGUCAGGACAGCUAAAAUAAAACAGCACUAGCAUCCUGUUUUGUAGCUUAGACAGGGCUGUACUGACAUUCUGUUUUUGCAGCCUUUGCAGAAAUGACUUCUGCAAAACAUCCUAAAAUAAAACAAUGAACCACAAAGCAUAGCCCCCAGAUGUCAACCAAAAAAAGACCAUCAUCACAAACACAUUAACCUAUAGGUGCCCAGAUACAUGACCAAAAUCCUGAUUGGCACGACCAGCACACCUUGAUGGCUUAAGAGGGUUCUGCAGAUGCGCUCAUAAAGCCCCCAAACUUAGAAACUCAGAUCCCCUCCCUCUCCAGGAGCUUUGUACUCUUGCUCAAUAAACUUUGCUUCACUGUCCACCAUUCUUCCUCUGGUUACCUCUUCAUUCUUCAUAGUGGCAUGACCAAGAAUUGUGGUCACUAAAGGCAGAGAAUUCCUGCCACAGUAAGUCUUCUUUAACAUAUUUAAAAUCCUUUUGGAAACCUCCUUUGUCUCUACCCCUCCCAACUUAAAAUUAUAUAAUCAAUCACUCCUCACAUUCCUAGUACAGCUCUUUCUGCCCAUGGGUCCUAUCCCCAUACUUUAAU